UCCGCACGAGCGCACCCUUGAUCUUAGUUGCCAUCAUUAAGUUGGGCACUCUAAGGUGACUGCCGGUGACAAACCGGAGGAAGGUGGGGAUGACGUCAAAUCAUCAUGCCCCUUAUGACCUGGGCUACACACGUGCUACAAUGGACGGUACAAAGAGCUGCAAGACCGCGAGGUGGAGCUAAUCUCAUAAAACCGUUCUCAGUUCGGAUUGUAGGCUGCAACUCGCCUACAUGAAGCUGGAAUCGCUAGUAAUCGCGGAUCAGCAUGCCGCGGUGAAUACGUUCCCGGGCCUU
rnacentral:rRNA from 1 species